rnacentral:rRNA from 1 species
UACGUAGGGUGCGAGCGUUAAUCGGAAUUACUGGGCGUAAAGCGUGCGCAGGCGGUUCGUUGUGUCGGUGGUGAAAGCCCCGGGCUUAACCUGGGAAUGGCCAUGGAAACUGGCGAACUGGAGUGUGGCAGAGGGGGGUGGAAUUCCGCGUGUAGCAGUGAAAUGCGUAGAGAUGCGGAGGAACACCGAUGGCGAAGGCAGCCCCCCUGGGCUAGCACUGACGCUCAGGCACGAAAGCGUGGGGAGCAAAUGGG